rnacentral:ncRNA from 1 species
CCUUAACAGUUACAUGGUGUAACUGACACUUGCCAAGAUAAGGAGAUUUACAUG